rnacentral:rRNA from 1 species
CACAGCAAAAGACCAAAAAUCCCAUGACGUCCUUCAACAUCCUAGAAAAACACUGAGCCACACUAUAAAUAUAGACGAACUAAUGUUAAAACUAGUAACAAGAAACUUUCUCCCAGCACCCCUGUGACCCAGAAAUAGACACCCUACUGGACAUUAACAGACCAAAAAAGGUACGACACCCACCAAGUCCUAUCAACUGUCAAACCAACACUGGCGUGCUAAAAAGACAGAUUAUAAAUCAUAUAAGGAACUCAGCAAAAUUUGUCUCAACUGUUUACCAAAAACAUAGCCUUUAGCCAAACAAGUAUUAAAGGUCCCGCCUGCCCAGUGAAACUUUUUAACGGCCGCGGUAUUCUAACCGUGCAAAGGUAGCGUAAUCACU